rnacentral:tRNA from 1 species
GGGAGUGGAGCUCAGUGGUCAAGCACUUGCCUAGCAUGUAUGAGGUCCUGGGUCUGAUCCCCAGCACCCCUC